rnacentral:lncRNA from 1 species
UUGAACAUCGAGUAUUUUUUUUGCAAAUAUGUAGAUUGCUUGAGGUGUUCAAGUUCAAGUUUCGAAUUGCUGUCUAUUCGUGAAUUCUGGACGCGGUUCCUUGUUCGAAGUUGUUCCUAUUUUCUUACUUGGAUUCCACAUUUAAGUUCUUGUAGCCAAAUCUCUAACAUUCUAUUACUAAGAAGAGUUUUACAUUAUUCAAGUUCAUCAUUGCUCUUUCUCUGCUUUUGUUUUGUU